ACGCUGGCGGCGUGCUUAACACAUGCAAGUCGAACGAGAAUCACCGGAAGGAGUUUUCGGACAACGGAAGGUGAGGACAGUGGCGGACGGGUGAGUAACGCGUGAGGAACCUGCCUUUCAGAGGGGGACAACAGUUGGAAACGACUGCUAAUACCGCAUAACGCAUAGGUAUCGCAUGGUACUUAUGCCAAAGAUUUAUCGCUGAAAGAUGGCCUCGCGUCUGAUUAGCUGGUUGGUGAGGUAACGGCCCACCAAGGCGACGAUCAGUAGCCGGACUGAGAGGUUGACCGGCCACAUUGGGACUGAGAUACGGCCCAGACUCCUACGGGAGGCAGCAGUGGGGAAUAUUGGGCAAUGGGCGCAAGCCUGACCCAGCAACGCCGCGUGAAGGAAGAAGGCUUUCGGGUUGUAAACUUCUUUUGGCAGGGAAGAGGAGAAGACGGUACCUGCCGAAUAAGCCACGGCUAACUACGUGCCAGCAGCCGCGGUAAUACGUAGGUGGCAAGCGUUGUCCGGAUUUACUGGGUGUAAAGGGCGUGUAGCCGGGUUGGUAAGUCAGAUGUGAAAUGCACGGGCUUAACUCGUGAACUGCAUUUGAAACUGCUGAUCUU
rnacentral:rRNA from 1 species